GUGAGCGGCGGCGGGUGGGGCGCGGGCGGUGCGGGGCGGUCGGGGCCGGGGGCGCGCCGCUGAGCUCCUGCGGAAAACUUGCCCGUUUCCUCCCCCUCCGCCGGGCGAAGCCCGCAGCCCCGCUGUCAGACCGCUCCCGCUGCGCGCUGCCGCCCUCCCGCCCCGCACCUGCCGCCCGCGCUGGGCGCUUCCCGACGGCGCCGGGCUCGGGCGGUUGGGCCGGCCCAGAGUUCUGAUCCCGCUUUCAGCUGGAGAAAGGCGACGGCGGCGCGCACGUGUGGUGUGAAGAAAGAGCCUUUAUCGCGGUGCUGAGGAGGAGGACUGCCUUGGUCAUGGUGAUACAGAUCUACCUGGAGAGUAGGGCCUGGAUGACUGGGAUUUAAGAUCACGGUGAUGUUUUAACAGGAAUGUUGCCAGGUGAAGAAAGAUGGAGUAGGUGGAAAGUGUGAAAGCAUCUUCCACACUGCUGCACCCCUCUUCAAAUUAAUCAUUAUUGGUAAGAAAGGAAGCUAUGCCUUAUGUCAUUCCCAAAAGUUCAGCACACGUCUCUCU
ensembl:lncRNA